rnacentral:rRNA from 1 species
CCUCUUACUGGGGGAUAGCCCGAGGAAACUCGGAUUAAUACUCCAUAAUAUCCUGAAUUCGCAUGUUUUCAGGAUUAAAGCUCCGGCGGUAAGAGAUGGGCAUGCGUGCCAUUAGCUUGUUGGUGAGGUAACGGCUCACCAAGGCUGCGAUGGCUAGGGGGCCUGAGAGGGUAAUCCCCCACACUGGUACUGAGACACGGACCAGACUCCUACGGGAGGCAGCAGUGAGGAAUAUUGGGCAAUGGACGAAAGUCUGACCCAGCCAUGCCGCGUGCAGGAUGAAGGCCCUAUGGGUUGUAAACUGCUUUUUUACGGGAAGAAAUGUUCCGACGUGUCGGAAUUCGACGGUACCGUAGGAAUAAGCAUCGGCUAACUCCGUGCCAGCAGCCGCGGUAAUACGGAGGAUGCAAGCGUUAUCCGGAUUUAUUGGGUUUAAAGGGUGCGUAGGCGGAAUAGUAAGUCAGUGGUGAAAUCUUGCGGCUCAACCGUAAAAUUGCCUCUGAUACUGGUAUUCUUGAGUGCAGUUGAGGUAGGCGGAAUGUGUAAUGUAGCGGUGAAAUGCAUAGAUAUUACACAGAACACCAAUUGCGAAGGCAGCUUACUAAACUGUUACUGACGCUGAGGCACGAAAGCGUGGGGAGCAAACAGGAUUAGAUACCCUGGUAGUCCACGCUGUAAACGAUGAUCACUCGCUGUUGGCGAUAAACAGUCAGCGGCUAACGUAAAAGCAUUAAGU